rnacentral:rRNA from 1 species
UACGGAGGGGGCCAGCGUUGUUCGGAUUUAUUGGGCGUAAAGGGUGCGUAGGCGGCGGAGUAAGUUGGGUGUGAAAUCCCGGGGCUCAACCUCGGAAUUGCAUUCAAUACUGCUUCGCUCGAGUACUGGAGAGGAGGCUGGAAUUUACGGUGUAGCAGUGAAAUGCGUAGAUAUCGUAAGGAAGGCCGGUGGCGAGAGCGAGCCUCUGGACAGUUACUGACGCUGAUGCACGAAGGCCAGGGGAGCAAACGGG